rnacentral:tRNA from 1 species
CUCUGGGUAGCUCAGUUGGUUUAGAGCAUCAGACUGUAAAUCUGAGGGUCGCUGGUUCGACUCCGGCCCCGGAGA